UNGUCUGUGAAAUUCCGGGGCUUAACUCCGGGCGUGCNGGCGAUACGGGCACGACUAGAGUGCUGUAGGGGUAACUGGAAUUCCUGGUGUAGCGGUGAAAUGCGCAGAUNUCAGGAGGAACACCGAUGGCGAAGGCAGGUUACUGGGCAGUUACUGACGCUGAGGAGCGAAAGCAUGGGGAGCGAACAGGAUUAGAUACCCUGGUAGUCCAUGCUGUAGACGGUGGGCGCUAGGUGUGGGCUGUGUGUUUGCAGUCUGUGCCGUAGCUAACGCAUUAAGCGCCCCGCCUGGGGAGUACGGCCGCAAGGCUAAAACUCAAAGGAAUUGACGGGGGCCCGCACAAGCGGCGGAGCAUGUGGAUUAAUUCGAUGCAACGCGAAGAACCUUACCUGGGUUUGACAUGCACCAGAUCGGCGUAGAGAUACGUCCUCCCUUGUGGUUGGUGCACAGGUGGUGCAUGGUUGUCGUCAGCUCGUGUCGUGAGAUGUUGGGUUAAGUCCCGCAACGAGCGCAACCCUUGUCUUAUGUUGCCAGCACAUUUUUGGUGGGGACUCAUGAGAAACUGCCGGGGUCAACUCGGAGGAAGGUGGGGAUGACGUCAAAUCAUCAUGCCCUUUAUACCCAGGGCUUCACACAUGCUACAAUGGUCGGUACAACGGGUUGCGACACUGUGAAGUGAAGCUAAUCUCUGAAAGCCGGCCUCAGUUCGGAUUGGGGUCUGCAACUCGACCCCAUGAAGUCGGAGUCGCUAGUAAUCGCAGAUCAGCAACGCUGCGGUGAAUACGUUCCCGGGCCUUGUACACACCGCCCGUCACGUCAUGAAAGUUGGUAACACCCGAAGCCCAUGGCCUAACCACCACCUGUGGUGGGGGGAGU
rnacentral:rRNA from 1 species